AUUGGGCGUAAAGCGCGCGCAGGCGGUUCUUUAAGUCUGAUGUGAAAGCCCACGGCUCAACCGUGGAGGGUCAUUGGAAACUGGGGAACUUGAGUGCAGAAGAGGAAAGUGGAAUUCCAUGUGUAGCGGUGAAAUGCGUAGAGAUGUGGAGGAACACCAGUGGCGAAGGCGACUUUCUGGUCUGUAACUGACGCUGAGGCGCGAAAGCGUGGGGAGCAAACAGGAUUAGAUACCCUGGUAGUCCACGCCGUAAACGAUGAGUGCUAAGUGUUAGGGGGUUUCCGCCCCUUAGUGCUGCAGCUAACGCAUUAAGCACUCCGCCUGGGGAGUACGGCCGCAAGGCUGAAACUCAAAGGAAUUGACGGGGGCCCGCACAAGCGGUGGGGCAUGUGGUUUAAUUCGAAGCAACGCGAAGAACCUUACCAGGUCUUGACAUCCCGCUGACCGCCUAGGAGACUAGGCUUUCCCUUCGGGGACAGCGGUGACAGGUGGUGCAUGGUUGUCGUCAGCUCGUGUCGUGAGAUGUUGGGUUAAGUCCCGCAACGAGCGCAACCCUUGAUCUUAGUUGCCAGCAUUCAGUUGGGCACUCUAAGGUGACUGCCGGUGACAAACCGGAGGAAGGUGGGGAUGACGUCAAAUCAUCAUGCCCCUUAUGACCUGGGCUACACACGUGCUACAAGGGACGGUACAAAGGGCUGCAAACCCGCGAGGGGGAGCCAAUCCCAUAAAACCGUUCUCAGUUCGGAUUGCAGGCUGCAACUCGCCUGCAUGAAGCCGGAAUCGCUAGUAAUCGCGGA
rnacentral:rRNA from 1 species